UGGGGAAUAUUGCACAAUGGGGGAAACCCUGAUGCAGCGACGCCGCGUGGAGGAAGAAGGUCUUCGGAUUGUAAACUCCUGUUGUUGGGGAAGAUAAUGACGGUACCCAACAAGGAAGUGACGGCUAACUACGUGCCAGCAGCCGCGGUAAAACGUAGGUCACAAGCGUUGUCCGGAAUUACUGGGUGUAAAGGGAGCGCAGGCGGGAAGACAAGUUGGAAGUGAAAUCUAUGGGCUCAACCCAUAAACUGCUUUCAAAACUGUUUUUCUUAAGUAGUGCAGAGGUAGGCGGAAUUCCCGGUGUAGCGGUGGAAUGCGUAGAUAUCGGGAGGAACACCAGUGGCGAAGGCGGCCUACUGGGCACCAACUGACGCUGAGGCUCGAAAGUGUGGGUAGCAAACAGGAUUAGAUACCCUGGUAGUCCACACCGUAAACGAUGAUUACUAGGUGUUGGAGGAUUGACCCCUUCAGUGCCGCAGUUAACACAAUAAGUAAUCCACCUGGGGAGUACGACCGCAAGGUUGAAACUCAAAGGAAUUGACGGGGGCCCGCACAAGCAGUGGAGUAUGUGGUUUAAUUCGACGCAACGCGAAGAACCUUACCAAGUCUUGACAUCCCUUGACAGACAUAGAAAUAUGUAAUCUCUUCGGAGCAAGGAGACAGGUGGUGCAUGGUUGUCGUCAGCUCGUGUCGUGAGAUGUUGGGUUAAGUCCCGCAACGAGCGCAACCCUUAUGGUCAGUUACUACGCAAGAGGACUCUGGCCAGACUGCCGUUGACAAAACGGAGGAAGGUGGGGAUGACGUCAAAUCAUCAUGCCCUUUAUGACUUGGGCUACACACGUACUACAAUGGCGUUAAACAAAGAGAAGCAAGACCGCGAGGUGGAGCAAAACUCAGAAACAACGUCCCAGUUCGGACUGCAGGCUGCAACUCGCCUGCACGAAGUCGGAAUUGCUAGUAAUCGUGGAUCAGCAUGCCACGGUGAAUACGUUCCC
rnacentral:rRNA from 1 species